GAGAUUUAAACAUUCAUAAAACAAAAAUGUCUGGAGGAGAAGAAGACGAAAGAAAACGCCACCGAACUCAAAUUUUCCGAUGAGUUUUUGAAGGCAAAGUGUCUAAUGAACUGUGAAGUUGCCUUAAUUCUUGAACACAAGUAUGAGCAGCCUCAACAGAUGUCUGAGGAUCCUAUGAACCAAAUAUCUCAGGUUUUCGAGAAGUCACUCCAAUAUGUGAAGUGCUGCUGCCAUUAUAAGAACCCUGAUGCUGUCAGACAAGUUCGAGAGUGUCCAUCAUGAUGAAUUUUUCCUUAUGUUUCAUAUUUAUACAUGCCAUUUAUGAUUAAUCUGUGAUCGUGUUUAUGUUAAACUACUUGAUAACGAAUUCAAGAUGGACGAUGGACCAUUACCAUAUUGAUUUGUUAUACAUUUUCCCUUGUUUUUGUACUCCUUGUUUCAUCCUUUGGCUGGUACACCACUUAACCUUCUACUUUGGGUGGUUCUUCGAGAUGUAUAAAGGUGUUCAUAUUCGAGAA